CUCAGAUUGAACGCUGGCGGCAGGCCUAACACAUGCAAGUCGAACGGUAACAGGAAGAAGCUUGCUUCUUUGCUGACGAGUGGCGGACGGGUGAGUAAUGUCUGGGAAACUGCCUGAUGGAGGGGGAUAACUACUGGAAACGGUAGCUAAUACCGCAUAACGUCGCAAGACCAAAGAGGGGGACCUUCGGGCCUCUUGCCAUCGGAUGUGCCCAGAUGGGAUUAGCUAGUAGGUGGGGUAAAGGCUCACCUAGGCGACGAUCCCUAGCUGGUCUGAGAGGAUGACCAGCCACACUGGAACUGAGACACGGUCCAGACUCCUACGGGAGGCAGCAGUGGGGAAUAUUGCACAAUGGGCGCAAGCCUGAUGCAGCCAUGCCGCGUGUAUGAAGAAGGCCUUCGGGUUGUAAAGUACUUUCAGCGGGGAGGAAGGGAGUAAAGUUAAUACCUUUGCUCAUUGACGUUACCCGCAGAAGAAGCACCGGCUAACUCCGUGCCAGCAGCCGCGGUAAUACGGAGGGUGCAAGCGUUAAUCGGAAUUACUGGGCGUAAAGCGCACGCAGGCGGUUUGUUAAGUCAGAUGUGAAAUCCCCGGGCUCAACCUGGGAACUGCAUCUGAUACUGGCAAGCAUGAGUCUCGUAGAGGGGGGGUAGAAUUCCAGGUGUAGCGGUGAAAUGCGUAGAGAUCUGGAGGAAUACCGGUGGCGAAGGCGGCCCCCUGGACGAAGACUGACGCUCAGGUGCGAAAGCGUGGGGAGCAAACAGGGAUUAGAUACCCUGGUAGUCCACGCCGUAAACGAUGUCGACUUGGAGGUUGUGCCCUUGAGGCGUGGCUUCCGGAGCUAACGCGUUAAGUCGACCGCCUGGGGAGUACGGCCGCAAGGUUAAAACUCAAAUGAAUUGACGGGGGCCCGCACAAGCGGUGGAGCAUGUGGUUUAAUUCGAUGCAACGCGAAGAACCUUACCUGGUCUUGACAUCCACAGAACUUUCCAGAGAUGGAUUGGUGCCUUCGGGAACUGUGAGACAGGUGCUGCAUGGCUGUCGUCAGCUCGUAUUGUGGAAUGUUGGGUUAAGUCCCGCAACGAGCGCAACCCUUAUCCUUUGUUGCCAGCGGUCCGGCCGGGAACUCAAAGGAGACUGCCAGUGAUAAACUGGAGGAAGGUGGGGAUGACGUCAAGUCAUCAUGGCCCUUACGACCAGGGCUACACACGUGCUACAAUGGCGCAUACAAAGAGAAGCGACCUCGCGAGAGCAAGCGGACCUCAUAAAGUGCGUCGUAGUCCGGAUUGGAGUCUGCAACUCGACUCCAUGAAGUCGGAAUCGCUAGUAAUCGUGGAUCAGAAUGCCACGGUGAAUACGUUCCCGGGCCUUGUACACACCGCCCGUCACACCAUGGGAGUGGGUUGCAAAAGAAGUAGGUAGCUUAACCUUCGGGAGGGCGCUUACCACUUUGUGAUU
rnacentral:rRNA from 1 species